UACGUAGGGGGCAAGCGUUGGUCCGGAUUUAUUGGGCGUAAAGAGCGUGUAGGCGGCCAAACAGGUCCACUGUGAAAACAUCGAGGCUCAACCUCGAGAGGUCGGGUGGAAACCGUCUGGCUAGAGUCCGGAAGAGGAGAGUGGAAUUCCCGGUGUAGCGGUGAAAUGCGCAGAUAUCGGGAAGAACACCCGUGGGCGAAGGCGGCCUCUCUGGGGACGGUAC
rnacentral:rRNA from 1 species